CAUGUUGUAAGCUCACCUGCUGCGGAUCUAUUCUCUCAACUAGCCUUACAGUAAAUUCCCGAUAGAGAUGGGAGCAGAUGGCUGGAAUACUGCCGAGCUGGCGGGAAACGAUGAAGGAAUAUUUCAGCUGGAUCCAGAGUCUGGAUUUUUAUGUACUCUCAAGCCCUAUGAUCGGAAGACAAGGGAUCGUACACCGUAACGGCGUUGCUUUCAUGCAGAUGAUCCGUUCCCAGAGAAUGCAGAUUUAUGUUGCACAAUCCUGGACAGUGAGAAGAACGUCUUCCAGAUAGACAGGAGUCUGGAGCAGCGUCCCUACCAGACGGAGGCGACACCAGGACUGGAGCUGCCAGACGCAGGGAGUAGUGCAGCCCUGGAGGGAACCUGUUGAGGGCAGCAUACAUUGGUGCGAUGCCCUGAGCCCCGGUCAGUAAUAUCUCUACUGGGCAGCCCAGGAAUAAGAGGACGCCCCGUGCACUGAGUGGACUGCAGCGCGCGGCUGACUCCGGAGUCGCUCCAUACAGAUUUCCGCAGAGCGACUGGGGGUCUCUUACCUGUCACUAGUUGAUGACAGACGCUUCAAACUGGUAGUUCAGGUGAAAGACAUGGGCGACGAUCCGAAGGGUUACGUAGCAUCCGGAAGCCUGGACGUUGUCGUUGCAGGAAAUACUUGGGUCCAUCCAGGUCCGGCGUCCACUCCUGAGAACCAGAAAGGAAGUUGCCCUCAUACGACUUCUAAACUUGAUAAAGGGCGUCCAGAAACGCAGGAUUCCUGAGUGCAGGUCUUCAUUCUGGAUACAACUGAAAGAUCCUUAUGACACGUAAAGCAGCCGCUGCUGAUAGUACUGAUGGAUGCUCGUGAUGUCAGAGGCGCGAGACGUAGACCUCACGUAGGUCAGGUGCACCCGUGGAGCAGGCUACAUGUCUGGUACUGAUGCAGGAGUCUCACUGUGUAGUGUCCCACUAGGUAAAUGUGGGCACUACACAAGGGUCAAUUGGGCCACGUGGUACUUCUACUCUUAAGGGACAGUGGCAGAGUAUUUAACAGUCCAUUUUAAUGUAUUUUUAUAUGCUUUAUGUUCAUUUCUUCCCUGUGAUGUGUGCAGCAGGCCUAUUAGGGUGUAGUUAAGCAUCCUAGACACUAGAGGGGGAUAGGGAGCCC